rnacentral:other from 2 species
CAUUGCCUGCCUGAUUCGUGAAUUGUGCCAAUAUAACCCUACAACUUAUUCUUCGGGAGUCCUCCUCCCUUGACGGAUUGCAGACCUCCCAUUUCGGUGGAUGAAGGGAGCGUGAAAGCAAGGGGAGACACCCACCUGUCUUUUAGUAGGCAGGUUAUAAUUGCACGAUACGGUCAGGCGGGUUUUUU